CGCCGACCUUGCAUGGGCUCUGAGGACUAGGUCAGGGGCCUGGCCCCGGGGAGCCGGCCGUUGGCCCGGGACGCGGCUUAGCCGUGUCGGCACUCAGGGGUUUGGGAAACGCCAAAGACGCUUUAUAAACAAGCGAAGGCCGUGACCCGGCAGCCUCCCCGCUGAGCGCAGACUCAGUGCCCCGCUCGCUCAGAACUUGGACCGCAUGUCCCCGUUUCCGGGAUUCGCAAAAGAUUCACACCGAGGAAGCUACGGGUUUGGACCUGUUGUUUGGAAAGUAAUGUAUCAUCAGAGAUAAUCCUUAUGCAGAAAGGACCAUAAAUCAUAGGAAGCUCGACAAAAACGUCCUUGUCUCCUUCGAGCCGGAAUCGAACCAGCGACCUAAGGAUGCCUCUUAAGGGUAUUAACUACAGUCCUCCGCUCUACCAGCUGAGCUAUCGAAGGGACGUGCAGAGCCCGUGCCCCCGCCCCCUGAGAUUCAAUACCUAGGAACCAGAGCGCGCUCAACCCUUACCCAGAGAUGAAACUGAGCAUGCGUAAUGGAGGGAGUGGGGCGCGAAGGGAGUACGUGCCCGAAUGUUGUUUUACGCGUGCGCAGAAAGACUACCCGGCGGUGGCUCGCGGAGCCUGACUGCGGUAGGAGUGAGUACCGAACUUUCGUGUCAAGACUCAAGACUCCUCCGCGUGUCUGUCGCACUUUUUCUUUACUCCCGGUGUUAGGGGAGUUACUGUCGGGUGUGGUUUCCCUAUUCUGUAACCUUUAUGUCUCCUCACCCCUCGUGUGAGGGGUCCGUGGUGCAGGGUGAUGCGUCCGACUACGAAUCAGAGGACUGUAGAAAAGAAAGCGUGUCGUAGAUGAAAGGAGAUGAAUCUGGAGAUGAAUCUGGACAUCUCAGGAGUGGAGAUAUGUGGGUACCAGAGCAGAUUACUCAGAAGUAAGAAGAAAAAACCCUCCCAGCUUUAAAUGUCACCUCCUCUGGGAAGCUGUCCUCACUUGCAUCUGGGUCAGGCCCGCCUAGUGUUCACUGUCACAGCCCCUGUGCUUCUCCUUUGGCAGACUUAUCAUACCUGUAAGUUAGCUAGCUCAUUGUGUGACUAUUUGUGGAGUACUUGUCUUCCCAUCUCCUCUGCGAUACUGUAAGGUCCAAGACAGCAGGGACCGCGUCUUUCUUUUCUCUAGCCCCUAGCAUAGUGUCGGGCAAAUAUUAAGUGCUCAAUAAAUGUUUUCUGUGAAAAGACUGUCUAGUAAAUUUGCUCACUGAACCUUAGCAGGCAAAACCUGAAGAAACCUUGGGUCCCCUUGGAGCAGCUUCCGGGGCAGCGUUCUGAGCUGACUCACUUGUCCUGCUGUCCCGGCCCAGGGCCUUGAUGGUGCUUACUUGUCAUUUUCAUAUAAAGAAGCAGCAAAGGACUUUGGACUAGUUGCAAGAAUUAUUUUCCAUGAAUUAUUUUUAGAAAUCAGUUUCUUUUGACUGGGGGGAAGGGGAUAGGAAGGAGAUUGAGUGGGAUUGGUGAAAAGAGGAAGGAUGAAUUUAAUCUCUUCCUUGGUGCCCUUUUCCUGGGCAAUAAAGUGUGAUGAAUGCUGAACAGCAAAUGUAAUAAAUGUCUCAAUAUCUUGGC